CUGCCAGGCGCUGUGCUAUGAUGGCAUCUGUUGUGUGUAAGCCGCGGUGAUUAAGCGUUGCGGCGUGGCAUGGUGUCUGAAUGCUGUGGCUUGCACAACACUGUGGAGGAAACCACACUCAGGGUUAGUAAGGUCGCCACGUAUGCUCAGCGCUGCACUUAGCCUGUGCAACUACUAUACUACAACUACUAUACUAUACUAGAACUACUACACAACAACUACUAUACAACAUCUACUAUACAACAACUACUCUACUACAACUACUACACAUCAACUACUACACAACAACUACUAUACUACAACUACUAUACAACAACUACUCUACUAGAACUACUACACAUCAACUACUACAAAACAACUACUAUACAACAACUACUCUACUACAACUACUACACAUCAACUACUACAAAACAACUACUAUACAACAACUACUCUACUACAACUACUACACAUCAACUACUACAAAACAUCUACUAUACAACAACUACUCUACUACAACUACUACACAUCAACUACUACAAAACAUCUACUAUACAACAACUACUAUACUACAACUACUCUACUACAACUACUACACAUCAACUACUACACAACAACUACUCUACUACAACUACUAUACUACAACUACUAUACAACAACUACUCUACUACAACUACUAUACACCAACUACUAUACUACAACUACUAUACACCAACUACUAUACUACAACUACUAUACUACAACUACUGUACUACAACUACUAUACAACAACUACUAUACAACAAUUACUCUACUACAACUACUAUACUACAACUACUAUACUACAACUACUAUACAACAUCUACUAUACAACAACUACUCUACUACAACUACUACACAUCAACUACUACACAACAACUACUAUACUACAACUACUAUACAACAACUACUAUACAACAAUUACUCUACUACAACUACUAUACAACAACUACUCUACUACAACUACUAUACAACAACUACUCUACUACAACUACUAUACAACAACUACUAUACUACAACUACUAUACUACAACUACUGUACACCAACUACUAUACUACAACUACUAUACUACUAUACUAUACUAAAACUACUACACAAUAACUACUAUACUACAACUACUACACAACAACUACUAUACAACAGAUACUAUACAACAACUACUAUACAACAUUGGCAUCCUAUCACAUACAUUUAGUCAUUUAGCAGACGCUUUUAUCCAAAGCGACUUACAUAUGUGCGACUUACAAUGUAUACACAUUUUACAUUUUACAUUUACACUGAUGGCACACUGCACAUCAAGAGCAAUUAGGGGUUCAGUGUCUUGCUCAAGGACGCUUCGACAGGGAAUCGAACUAACAACCUUCUGAUUACUAAACGACUUCUCUACCCCCUGUACCACUGUCGCCCACAUACAAUACUAUACUACACUAUACUAUACUAUACCAUACUAUACUAUACUAUAAAAGUAUAUACCAUCCGCUGU
rnacentral:lncRNA from 1 species